rnacentral:lncRNA from 1 species
ACCAAGCUACAUUUAUUGUAAGUAUAAAGUUUCCAGUACUUAUUCAUCCAAGAAUUAGUUCAAUUCAGCUCUUCUGUUGAGCAGAAGUUCAGAAACUAUAUUCAGGUAUUUGGUUCCUGACAUAUGUAAUACCAGCCAGGUUUACCAUUUUUCUUUAUCACUAAAGGUUAAAUAUGUACUAGCAAUAGCCAUUAUCUUCUAUAUACAGUCACCGAUAAGUUUAGCUUUUAUUGAAGUAGCUUACAUAUCAUACAAUCACUUGAUUUCCUAUCUAAUAUGUCUAACAAAACAUAACGAAACAAGAUGAAACAGAGGAUAAAAAUUACAAAGGUAAACAGAAAUCAAGAAACAAAGAAGGUAGUUAAACAGAGUGGAGUAGGUUUAUUGGAGAAGUACAGAGGCAUAAGGAAAAAGAAGUUGCCAAGCUAUAUGGCAGGUGUUUGUGUAACUGUAUUUUUGACUAAGGAGAGGGGUUUUUAUUUUGCAGAGAUGAAGAAGUGGAAGCUGGAGGAACACCAGGAAAACCAGGUAUGAUCGGUGGGAAGAGUGGAGGGAGAGGUGGGAAGAGUGAAGGGGGCGGUGGUGGGGGAGAUGGAGUUAAACCAGGUAUGAGUGGUGGGAUAAACGGAGGGAAUAAUGAAGGUGGAGAACGUGGAGGUGAAGGGAUUAUUGGAGGAAAUAUUGAAGGUGGAGGUGAAGGGAAUAAGGGAGGAAAUAUGGAAGGAGGAGGAGAGGGGAUGACAGGAGGAAUAAUGGAAGGUGGAGGUAGAAAUGGGUUUGGAGGAAGGAUUGAAGGUGGUGGAAGAAGUGGAUUUGGAGGCAAGGGAAGUCCUCCUCCUAUUGGAUUGAAAAAAUUUGGCUUAGCUGCAGCUUCUGAUUGAGAGUAGUAUUUGCUAGAGUCUUUAGGCACUGGUGAUAUUGGAAGUCCUGGA